rnacentral:tRNA from 1 species
CUGCUCCGAGGGAUCGCUGUGAGCAUUGGGAAUGGUUCCAUUUCUAUAGACCAACCCACCGUCCAGGCCAGCC